CGAUUCAAGCGAGUCGAUUAGGCCUGUUGAGGCCGAUCAAUUAACUUGGUGUAUUUCAACACCGAAUCGACCGGUGCAGCAGAUCGAUCAUGUACAAAUUCAACAAAACGAUUCAUGUGUAAUAAUCAGUCAGGUUCUCCCGCACCAUGCAGCAGAACAAUUUGCAUGGUGUGAUUUGACCAGUCAGCCUUCAUUAAAUGUGAUGCAGAAAAUCGAUGCUGCACCAGCCACGAAAGUUGAUUACACUUCUAUGGAUGAACUUAGCAAUUCAACAACACAGGAAUGUUUUUGAAGCCUGCCAAGAUUGGAUUCAAUAUUUGAAAAAUGGCUCAAACAUGAAAAAAUAGUUCAAUGGUUCAACGGAACAGGAAAUGGAACAUACUCCAAACUCGAUAACACGCACUCAUCAUGCUCAGUUUGGAACUCCUCUAGUAGGCGAUAUCCCGAUUAUAAUUACAAGAGAUUUCGCAUACAAAAUUCUUUUGAAUAUGCCACAGUAAACAUUCCUCAUUGGACAAAACUAACAGGGCGACGCAUAAUCGACUACGAUUAUUUUGUGAAAUGGUUGGUAGUUGCUCAGGCUGUCCACUCGAGAAAAUGUUGUGGAAUCCUUUGCCCCAUUCAGGAAAACUAUGUGUCGAUGGUUUCGACGAUUUUUAUGAAAUGCAAUGUUCGCGGCAAAGUUUUGAAAGGUCUAUCUGAAGAACCUUCCGAUGGCUUGAGGCUUCGACGUACUGUAUCCUGGGCUAUGCUGUGUUGUGGUACGUCAUUUUCGACACUCCAAGAAUUUUUCGGAUUUUUGAACAUUCCGUUCAUGAACAGAAAAACUGUUUUCAAGGAUGAAGAAGCUAUGAACUACGAGAUUCAAACUGCUCUUCAAGAAUCGUUAAACAAGGCGAUUUCGGAUGAAAAAAUGUGAUGAGCUAGAUGACCAAGAGAACUCAACUACAACCAUAAAUUUGUGUGGUACAUUUGAUGGAUCAUGGUGUAUGCGCAGUAAUGGGCACAGGUAUAGUUCCGAUUCCGAGUGCGCGGUAAUAAUUGGAUUGGAAACUAAAAAAGUCCUUUAUGUUGAUUGCAAAAACAAACGGUGCUGUGCAUGUAGCAUAAAUGCUCAACGAGCCAAAGAGUACAAACCCAUUAAGGCACACAAAUGUUACAAAAAUUUUAAAAGGUGCUUCAGGUGCAAUGGAGCCAGCCAUCUUUAUUGAAGGAUUCCAAAAAUUGUAUGAAACUGGUGUAAAGAUUACAUCAAUUGUUACGGAUGGCGACUCCACUACGGUUUCCAAACUCAAAAAUAAGUGUGCGUAUGGUCACAAAACAGCAACUUUGCUGCAACCAUGUGAUGAAGAAUUUGGGAAAAAUGUUGAGAGCUCUAACCGAGGAGGUAUCGAUGGGUAUAAAUCGCAUAACACGGGGUAUUCGAAGUUCAAUUAAACAUUGUGCUGAGAAAACAAAUGAAUGAAAGUUGAAUAACUCCGUUUUGAUAUCCGCAAU